CGGGAAAAAAGGCUAACUAAGGGUAACCUUGGGGCGCAAAGCUACCUGUCCGCCAAUCACUAUGGCGGAUAGAGGAGCUGCCAAG
rnacentral:ncRNA from 1 species